rnacentral:rRNA from 1 species
AACCUGCUAAAUAGACCCCCUGCCUUCUGGGGAGGGGCUGUCUUCUUAGAGGGACUAUCGGCUUUUAGCCGAUGGAAGUUUGAGGCAAUAACAGGUCUGUGAUGCCCUUAGACGUUCUGGGCCGCACGCGUGCUACACUGACCAAGCCAGCGAGUUCUUCCUUGGCCGGAAGGCCUGGGUAAUCUUGUGAAACUUGGUCGUGAUGGGGAUAGAGCAUUGCAAUUAUUGCUCUUCAACGAGGAAUGCCUAGUAAGCGCAAGUCAUCAGCUUGCGUUGAUUACGUCCCUGGUCUUUGUACACACCGCCCGUCGC